rnacentral:rRNA from 1 species
AUUGAACGCUGGCGGCAUGCUUUACACAUGCAAGUCGAACGGCAGCGCGGGGGCAACCCUGGCGGCGAGUGGCGAACGGGUGAGUAAUGCAUCGGAACGUAUCCUGUAGAGGGGGAUAACCAGUCGAAAGAUUGGCUAAUACCGCAUACGCUCGGGAGAGGAAAGCGGGGGACUCGCAAGGGCCUCGCGCUACAGGAGCGGCCGAUGUCCGAUUAGCUAGUUGGUGGGGUAAAGGCCUACCAAGGCGACGAUCGGUAGCUGGUCUGAGAGGAUGAUCAGCCACACUGGGACUGAGACACGGCCCAGACUCCUACGGGAGGCAGCAGUGGGGAAUUUUGGACAAUGGGCGAAAGCCUGAUCCAGCCAUGCCGCGUGCGGGAAGAAGGCCUCGGUGUAACG